rnacentral:rRNA from 1 species
UUCCGGUUGAUCCCGCCGGACCUGACUGCUAUCGGAUUGAUACUAAGCCAUGCGAGUCUUUGCAGUAAUGCAAGGCAUACGGCUCAGUAACACGUAGUCAACUUACCCUAUGGACGAGGAUAAUCUCGGGAAACUGAGCAUAAUACUCGAUAGAUCAUAAUGCCUGGAAUGGUUUAUGGUUAAAAUGAUUCGUCGCCAUAGGAUGGGACUGCGGCCUAUCAGCUUGUUGGUGAGGUAAUGGCCCACCAAGGCGAUUACAGGUACGGGCUCUGAGAGGAGAAGCCCGGAGAUGGGUACUGAGACAAGGACCCAGGCCCUAUGGGGCGCAGCAGGCGAGAAAACUUUGCAAUGUGCGAAAGCACGACAAGGUUAAUCCGAGUGAUUUCUGCUAAAGAAAUCUUUUGCAAGUCAUAAAACCACUAGUGAAUAAGGGGUGGGCAAGUUCUGGUGUCAGCCGCCGCGGUAAAACCAGCACCUCAAGUGGUCAGGAGGAUUAUUGGGCCUAAAGCAUCCGUAGCCGGCUCUGUAAGUUUUCGGUUAAAUUCAUGUGCUCAACGCAUGGGCUGCCGAAAAUACUGCAUAGCUAGGGAGUGGGAGAGGUAGACGGUACUCAGUAGGAAGGGGUAAAAUCCUUUGAUCUAUUGAUGACCACCUGUGGCGAAGGCGGUCUACCAGAACACGUUCGACGGUGAGGGAUGAAAGCUGGGGGAGCAAACCGGAUUAGAUACCCGGGUAGUCCCAGCUGUAAACGAUGCAGACUCGAUGAUGCAUUGGCAUAUAGCCAGUGCAGUGUCGCAGGGAAGCCGUUAAGUCUGCCGCCUGGGAAGUACGUACGCAAGUAUGAAACUUAAAGGAAUUGGCGGGGGAGCACCACAAGGGGUGAAGCCUGCGGUUCAAUUGGAGUCAACGCCGGG